CCGGGCCCGGCGCUUACCUCAGGCCGGGGUCCCGCUGCCCCGCUCCCGGCUCCGGUGGCGGCCGCUCCGGCUGGGCUGGGCGAUAACCAACGGUAACCGGCAACGUUCACCCGCUAGAAAUGGUGACACCCUUCUCCAUGGAAGCCUGUUUAUAUUUCUGCCAACGUCGCUGUCAGCAGCUCCCCGGGGGACCAGCCCCAGCUGUGUCCUUGGGACCUGAGUGGGGCUGGACGGGGCAGAUAAAAGGUCCCUUUGCCACCAUAACCAGCUCCCUGCGGCACCCAGUGGCAUAAAGAUGGGAAGAAGGUUUCAAACCCACAGCCCUGCUGCCCUGCUCCAGUUUUCCCAGCAGCCUGUAGCCUCUUGGAAAGCGAACCCUUGGUUUUUGCUCAGACUCCAGGUGCUGGGAAACCCCCCCAGGGCUCCUCCCCAGCACCCCAACACGGGGCAAUUCGCCUUCUGGGACUUUAUCUGCUCCCUGCCAUGCGGGCUCCUCUCAGCCUUAGUGCCAGCGGGGUUGCUGAGAGGGGGACAGCCUGUUUUCUUUCGAACCUGUAGCAAAUUACUCUGCAAAAUUUUUUUUUUUUUUUUUUGCCUGCCCCAAUGUGUUUUUACAUUUACCUUGCCCGAGUCACUCGCCCCUUCUUGCUCAGACACAGCUCGAGCACUUUGUAGGGAUCCUUCCAAGAGAUACUUAGAUAUUUUGCUUUCUUGGCCUGUUUUUGAUCUUUGAAGAAGCAGUUUGGUGGGUGCUACAAUCCGGUCCAAGACUUCAGUAUCGUGUCCGUAAACCCUCUCGGUGCUGCCUGCAAGUGCUCAGCCCCGCGGGCUGACAUCUGCUGCUCCUCCCGUCCCCCCUCUCCCCAAUCCAUCCCAUUCCUCUGCACUUUUCCCUUUCAGAUCACAAGAGGAUGAAGGAUUUGACUUGAAUUCACUAGUUAGAGGGUGAUCACGCUUGGUCUCUUAUUUAUCUUGAAUUUUGUGGCACCGAGGCACCGCGACUUUUUUCUGAAGACAAACGCAGAGGCUUACUUUACUACAUCCACUUUUUUUUAAGAGCCUGGGUUCGUGGUCUAUAGCAAACCUCGGAAGAAAAGCGAGCAGUGCUGCAUUUGCCAUUAGGUCGUUAUCUCUAAAAUCAGGAAGGUCACGCUGCAAAAAUAGAGUUCCUGUUUGUGCGGGCGGCAGCGUCCUGCGCACACAAUGAGACCAGCAUCGGGCACAGGCUGCUCGGCCGCCGGUGAGGCGACGGCCCCAGCACUGUCCUCCCCGCUCUUGGGAAUUAUAAUUUAUCACCUCCUGCCAUCCCCCGGGUUUAGCUUUUGGGACACCAAGGUGGGGGAUCCUUCCCACCGCAGCUGGGGAAGCAGCCAGGCACCUUCCCCUCGCCUGUGCCCACGCAGUACAAACCUCCCUCUUUUCAGUUGCAGCUUUUGGGGCAUUUUUGUGUGUCUGGCCCCAGGGAUGUGAUCUGGAGUGUUGGCCGUGCAGGGUCUCCCAGGUUUGGGUCCGCUCGCCUUGGGAACCGUGGCCCCGCUCCCCGCCCCCAUGUCCAGCCCGGGCUGGAUCGUUUCUCAGGAAAAGCUCAUUAAGCAAGCACUGGAUUUCUUUUAAAAAAGAAACUCACUUGUUUUCCAGAACUGAGUUUAUUGUAUUCAUAAUUGUCCUGUAUCUUUUUCAAUCUUCCUCCAUAAAGCUUUGCAUACCCUCACCCUUCCAGCCACAAAGGAUGUCAGCAAUACCCUCAUUCAAACGUUUUAUUAUUUUUUUCCUCUGAGAAUGGCAAUAAACUGAGGGUCUCUGCUCCUUUUAUGUUGGGUGCAAAGUACUCUCCUUUAGCAUACAAAUGCUUAAAGUCUAUUUUGUUAAAUCUUUAGGUUAAUUUUCCAUUUAACGCAUUUUAUUAGCAUUCUCACAAUACAAAAAGAAGCCUCAGAACUAAACCAAUCCAUUUAUGGAGAGAGACGGACACGUAUGGUUUCAUACCAAGUUUAUUUAUUUUUUUUAUUUUUUUAUUUUUU